AUUGAACGCUGGCGGAAUGCUUUACACAUGCAAGUCGAGCGGCAGCGCGGGGGCAACCCUGGCGGCGAGCGGCGAACGGGUGAGUAACAUAUCGGAACGUACCCAGUCGUGGGGGAUAACUAUCCGAAAGGAUAGCUAAUACCGCAUACGACCUGAGGGUGAAAGCGGGGGACCGAAAGGCCUCGCGCGAUUGGAGCGGCCGAUAUCGGAUUAGCUAGUUGGUGAGGUAAAGGCUCACCAAGGCGACGAUCCGUAGCUGGUCUGAGAGGACGACCAGCCACACUGGAACUGAGACACGGUCCAGACUCCUACGGGAGGCAGCAGUGGGGAAUUUUGGACAAUGGGGGGCAACCCUGAUCCAGCCAUUCCGCGUGAGUGAAGAAGGCC
rnacentral:rRNA from 1 species